rnacentral:rRNA from 1 species
UACGUAGGCAGCGAGCGUUGUUCGGAAUUACUGGGCGUAAAGGGUGCGCAGGCGGCCGCGCAAGUCGAGUGUGAAAGCCCCGGGCUUAACUUGGGAAUUGCGCUCGAAACUACGUGGCUGGAGUGUGGCAGAGGAAGGUGGAAUUCCACGUGUAGCGGUGAAAUGCGUAGAGAUGUGGAGGAACACCAAUGGCGAAGGCAGCCUUCUGGGCCAACACUGACGCUCAUGCACGAAAGCGUGGGGAGCAAACAGG